ACCUCCUUUCCAGCUCCUGUGCUUUCUCCUUAGACAAAGCUCCCCAUCUAAUCCGCGGUUGAUCCUGGGCGCCCCUCCGCUUCUUCUUCACCCAGAGAUCGACAUCCAUCACUAGUAGUCUAUGAAGAGCUGAAAGAGACUCUCCCGGAAUAACCUUGCAGUCCUUGCACAAGCUCCUAUCGCUCCUUCGGAUGAGGAUGUAGUCAAUUUGAGUCCUCGCCGCCGAACUCUUGAAGGUGACCAAAUGCUCCUCCCUCUUCCGGAAUGUCGAGUUCGCAAUCAGGAGCUCGGAAGCCCUGGCGA
rnacentral:lncRNA from 1 species